rnacentral:rRNA from 1 species
AUGCGCUGCUGCUGCUCGACGCAAUGCCUUCGUCGCUCCACAAUUCGGACAACGCGGAGGCAGAUGGACGCGGAGGCGGUGAGGACCACUCCUCCGUCCGCGGCUCACACGCAGGACUCCCCCAUGAGGCCACAGGUGCCCAGGUUCUACUACAAGAAGAGGUCUGCAGUCCACAACACAACUGGCAAGGAUGAUAGCAGCCCCAAGAUCCAACCGCCCAGCUCGCCCGUCAGCAGACAGAGCCUGUCAACCUCUGCCAUCCCCACCUAUCAUGCUGGAGGGUUCUACGAGAUCGACCACGACAUGCUGCCCCCCAAAUCUCCAAUCCAUCUCAAGUCCAUACGCGUGGUUAAGGUGAGCGAGUACACGAGCCACGACAUCACUGUGAGCUUCCCGUCCCUCCUGGCGCUGCGGAGCUUCUUCUCCUCGUUCCGGGUGCCCAGCUCCGGGCCAGAGCUUGACGAGCGCUUCGUCAUGAGCAGCAACCACGCCGCGCGCAUCCUGCGCCACCGGGUGGCCGAGCAGGAGCUCGAGGGCGAGAUGCACCAGGACAGCUUCUGGCUUGUCAACCCCUGCGUCUUCGACUUCAGCGCGUCGUCUGGCCCAGCAACGGCACAGGACGCGCUGUCGUCGCCUGAAGCUCCGCCUGCUCCGCCCAAGGCGCCGGCGGUCAGCUCCUGUCUCCUCGCCACCCUGAAGUGCGAUGGCGCCGGGUGGGGCGUGCGGCGCCGCGUCAGGUACAUUGGCCGGCAUCGCGAAGUUGCCAAGGAGGCCAGCAUCGGCGGCUACGAAACAGAGGCCAGCGUCAAGGAGCUGCAGCGCCCGGCUCAGGAAGAUGACAGGAGGAGCUCAAUCAGAGCCAAGAGGAAGCGGGACGAGGCAGAGGGAAGCAAGGACAAGCCCGGCAACCCGGCGAAGAAGAAGAAGAGCAAGGCAUACAAGAGCCCCAAGAAGCCGAAGAGGCGCCACGUGGAGUCUAGAGACGGCGACCCUCGGCGCGGCAAGGAGCGGUGGUCGGCCGAGCGGUACGCGGCGGCGGAGAGGAGCCUGCUCGAGAUCAUGCGCUCCAGCGGCGCCACCCUCGGCGCCCCGGUGAUGCGGCAGGCGCUGCGGGAGCAAGCCCGCAAGCGCAUCGGCGACACCGGCCUCCUGGACCACCUGCUCAAGCACAUGGCCGGGAGGGUGCCCGACGGCAGCACGGACCGGUUCCGGCGCCGUCACAACGCGGAUGGCGCCAUGGAGUACUGGCUGGAGCCAGCCGAGCUGGCGGAGGUGCGCCGGCAGGCCGGCGUGGCUGAUCCGUACUGGGUGCCGCCGCCCGGGUGGAAGCCCGGUGAUGACGUGUCCCCAGCUGCCGGUGAUCUCCUGAUUAAGAGGCAGACGGAGGAGCUCGCUGAGGAGCUCAAUGAUGUCAAAAGGAACAUGGAGCAACUGAGUUCUAACAUGGUGGAACUGGGCAAGGAAGCGAAAUCUGAGGCUGAAAGAGCUUACAGUUCAUGGAAGGAGAAGUACCAGAAGGUGGUUAACGCAAAUGAAAAGCUAGAGAAGCAGGUGUCGUCUUUGAAGGACACCUACGAGAAUGUGGUUCAGAAACACAGUAAGUUAAAGAAGGAGGUGCGGUCACUGAAGGAUAAGUAUGAUUUUGUAGUUGAAAAGAACGAUAAGCUGGAGGAGCAGAUGGCUUCUCUCUCCAGCUCCUUCUUGUCUUUGAAGGAACAAUUUCUGUUGGCAGAAAAUGGAGAGAAGCUGAAGCGUAUUGCAAUAGAGGAGGUGGGUGUGGGUCAGAACGAGGGCAGGCGGGCGCUAGAUUUUGGUGGUGGUGACCAGAGCCAGAGCCAGAGCCAGAGCCAGAGCCAGAGCAGGCAGCGUUCAGAUGUUAGCGCCGGCGAGAAGAGGACGGCCAGGAAGAGCAGCUUCCGCAUCUGCAAGCCACAGGGCACGUUCCUGUGGCCAAGCAGCACCGGCACCGACAUGAGCGGGAGCGGGGGCGGCAGCAGCGGCAUCAGCAUGGACCACCACCAGCUCCCCCGCAUCGGCCGUGCCACAGCAGUUGAGGUGGUGAUGGCAGAGGAGCAGGCGAUGCUGGGGGCGGGGGACUACUUCUCCACGCCGCCAUCGGCGUCGUCCACCACCAACGCCGGCAAGCUGCUGGCCCUGCCCAGCCCGAGGUCACCCCUCCAGCCACAGCCCCUCUUCACCGCAGGGUUCACCGUCCCGGCCCUGCACCCCUUCGCCGGCCUCACCUUGCGCCACAUGGAUUCGCCGUCGUCGCCCUGCGGUGCUAGUCUGCUGCAGCAGGGGGGGAGGAGGAUGGCCAUGCCCAACCUGGAGGUCGGAGGGAUGAGCACCGUGGGCACGGACCUGGCCCUCGCCACUCCCUCCUACUGCUGA